CUACCUGAUGACCGAUAGUGAAGCAGUACCGUGAGGGAAAGGUGAAAAGAACCCCGGGAGGGGAGUGAAAUAGAACCUGAAACCGUGUGCCUACAACCGCUCAGAGCCCCUUAUGAGGGUGAUGAGGUGCUUUUUGUAGAACGAGCCAACGAGUUACGGUAUGUAGCAAGGUUAAGUACUUAAGGUACGGAGCCGAAGGGAAACCGAGUCUGAAUAGGGCGACUAGUUGCAUGCCGUAGACCCGAAACCGGGUGACCUAUCCAUGGCCAGGUUGAAGCGAGGGUAAAACCUCGUGGAGGACCGAACCACGUUGCUGUUGAAAAAGCAUGGGAUGAGCUGUGGAUAGCGGAGAAAUUCCAAUCGAACCCGGAGAUAGCUGGUUCUCUCCGAAAUAGCUUUAGGGCUAGCGUCGAGUAUGAGUAGUGGAGGUAGAGCACUGAAUGGGCUAGGGGGCAUAGCGCUUACCGAACCUUAUCAAACUCCGAAUGCCACAUACUUUGAGCUCGGCAGUCAGACUACGAAUGAUAAGAUCCGUGGUCAAAAGGGAAACAGCCCAGAUCGUCAGCUAAGGUCCCAAAGUGUAAGUUAAGUGGGAAAGGAUGUGAGAUUUCUAAGACAACUAGGAUGUUGGCUUAGAAGCAGCCAUUCAUUAAAAGAGUGCGUAAUAGCUCACUAGUCGAGAGAUCUUGCGCCGAAAAUGUAACGGGGCUAAACUUACCACCGAAGCUACGGGCUUGAACAUAGUUCAAGCGGUAGGAGAGCGUCGUAACCGGGCUGAAGUCGUACCGUAAGGAGCGGUGGACUGGUUACGAGUGAGAAUGUUGGCAUCAGUAGCGAGAUGUGGGUGAGAAUCCCACAGGCCGAAAACCUAAGGUUUCCUCAGGAAGGUUCGUCCGCUGAGGGUUAGUCGGGACCUAAGCCGAGGCCGAAAGGCGUAGGUGAUGGACAACUGGUUGAUAUUCCAGUACCACUACCAUCGUUAUUAUCGAUGGCGUGACGCAGGAGGAUAGUGUGUGCUAGCUAUUGGAUGCUAGUCUAAGCGUUUAGGCAGUGAGAGUAGGCAAAUCCGCUCUCAUAAUGCUGAGGCGUGAUGGGGAAGGUUC
rnacentral:rRNA from 1 species